rnacentral:lncRNA from 1 species
GGUUUAUAUCAAGCAAUUGCAGAAGAAUUAGCUUGGAUCUCGAUACUAUAUAUCUUUUUGUAGGAUAAUUCUAAAGAAUCUAGGGGAUAUAACUUCUAUCUUACUAAAAAACAAGAGUUGUUCGGUAUUCUUUUAAAAAAAGAAGUACUUUAGUGAAGGUACUGAUGCCUUUAAUAUUGAACUUAUGAAGUUCGACAGGUAGAAGAGUCAACAUAAUCUAGUGAACUAAUAGAAUCAAAUUUGAUUAGAUCAUAUCCAAAAUCCAUUGUAGAGGCACCAUAAAGG